UACGUAGGGUGCAAGCGUUGUCCGGAAUUAUUGGGCGUAAAGAGCUCGUAGGCGGUUUGUCGCGUCUGCUGUGAAAACCCGAGGCUCAACCUCGGGCCUGCAGUCGAUACGGGCAAACUAGAGUACUGCAGGGGAGACUGGAAUUCCUGGUGUAGCGGUGAAAUGCGCAGAUAUCAGGAGGAACACCGGUGGCGAAGGCGGGUCUCUGGGCAGUAACUGACGCUGAGGAGCGAAAGCGUGGGGAGCGAACAGG
rnacentral:rRNA from 1 species